rnacentral:rRNA from 1 species
AUUGAACGCUGGCGGCAGGCCUAACACAUGCAAGUCGAGCGGUAGAGAGAGGCUUGCUUCUCUUGAGAGCGGUGGACGGGUGAGUAAUGCCUAGGAAUCUGCCUGGUAGUGGGGGAUAACGUUCGGAAACGGACGCUAAUACCGCAUACGUCCUACGGGAGAAAGCAGGGGACCUUCGGGCCUUGCGCUAUCAGAUGAGCCUAGGUCGGAUUAGCUAGUUGGUGGGGUAAUGGCUCACCAAGGCGACGAUCCGUAACUGGUCGGAGAGGAUGAUCAGUCACACUGGAACUGAGACACGGUCCAGACUCCUACGGGAGGCAGCAGUGGGGAAUAUUGGACAAUGGGCGAAAGCCUGAUCCAGCCAUGCCGCGUGUGUGAAGAAGGUCUUCGGAUUGUAAAGCACUUUAAGUUGGGAGGAAGGGCAGUAAAUUAAUACUUUGCUGUUUUGACGUUACCGACAGAAUAAGCACCGGCUAACCCUGUGCCAGCCGCCGCCGUAA